rnacentral:lncRNA from 1 species
AGUUUUUUUAAUUCUUACAAUUCUCUUGCAGUAAGAGUUAAAAAUAACGGAAAAAGGGAUACAAAUGGUUGCAGAGAUUUAAAUGAAUUGAUUUAUAAAAGCUAAAAUCAAAAGCUCAUUUGAAAAAUCACAACUAAUUCUUUCUUUUUGGUGUAUAUAUAAAAUGGACAUUUGUUGAAGCAAUAAGCAGAUAAGAGAAAAUAGAACAAAAUAGAAUAUAGAACAAAAUAGAAUAAUAACAUCGAGAAUUCGAUUAUUUUUAUUUUUAACGUGAGAAAACUUUCUUUAACUUUUAUAACCGUUUCUGGUGUGGCUGAAAUCAAGUUUCUACUGUCAGAACUUGGUGCAAAAAUGGUAGAAAUCAUUAGAUUUUGUAUCUUGAUAGCAGGUGAACAUAAUAGCAGCAAAAAUAUCAGUUUUUUUCUGUGUGUGGAUACCAAGUAUCUAUUAUUUCACACAUUCAAGUGAUUAUGUUUACAUGCACCAUGAGAAGCAGAGAGUGAAGGUAUAGAAAAAGGAACAUAGAAAUGUUAAGAAUUAGAUGAGAAAGCCAAAGCAGUGUGAUGGUAAAACAGCUACAUGCUACUCUACCAUUGAUAUGAAGGAAAAGUGAGUUCCACAAGUCACUGCAUUGGAACUUUACCGUCCAAUAACAUCCUGAAUUUGAUAUUAAUGUCACUGUGCAAAGUGUUGUUUGAGUAUGAAUAAACUGUUGAACAGUGUAGAAGAGCAGAAGGAGGAAGCAGCAAUGAGAAACUAGAUGGGCCUAAUGAGAUAAUAGAAGAGAAUUUUGGUCAAAAUGUGUUUUUCAAUGGCUGCUUGUGGAUGACAUUUAAGAGGCUAAUGAAGCCCAAGAAUAUUU